rnacentral:lncRNA from 1 species
AAAAUAUUUACACUAUUAUGAGUAAAACAUUCUCUGUUCAUACUAAAAUCUUUACCAAAUUUCUCCUUGUUUUAAGAAACAGAGGGAGGAUUAUAUAUAUAAAUUUUAGAAAUUUAAAAAUAGUUAAAACAUGAACUGUAUAUGUGUGAAGAGAUUGAGAGAAUUAGAUAUUAUCUCCGUAAAGAUCAUUAUGAAACUAUAACAUAAAAUAAGCUACUAAAUGUACUAUAAAUUCAACCAAUCUAAGGCAACAUACCAGAGACCUUUGGAACAGGUACAUAAACACUAAUUUGAGCCACCUUAUAAAUAAAAUGUAGCAAAAUCCUUUAAGGAUUUUAUAAAACACAACUUUUAACUAAACUAAACUCCAAUUUUUUUCAAAUAUGAAACAAGAAUUGCCAAAAUAGCUUAAUAAAGUUGAAUCCAACACAGCUAGAAAUGUACUGCUCAUUGAACUUAACUGAAAAUAAGUUUUAGUUUUAUAUGAAAUUAAUCAGUGCCAGAAAAUCUCAUACAGGUUUUUCUUGUUACUAACAGAAAAUUUCCAUGGGUCAUCAGGAAAUUAAGAAAGCUGAAUGACUUCCUGAUGUGUUUCUCUGUCAUGUCAAUAUUAGCAAAUAAACGAAUUAGGAAAAUGACAUCAAUAAUUUACAAUAAAAAUUUUCACCUAAAUGUACAUUACAACAAAAACAUUUCUGCCUUAAUUAUCUACAUGAUUAUUUCCCAAAGUAUGUUCUAAGGGGCACAAGGCCCACAAGAUACAUUUCUAAAAACAGGUUCCACAGUCAAAUAAAUCUGGGAAAUCCCAUACACUAACUCCCCAUUUCAGAGAUAAGCAGUCCCAUUAGCUUUGUUGGAGCCUGUUUAACUUUAAUCCGUAUUUCCCAAGUUUACCUUGAUCUUGAAACACUUUUUUUCAUAAUUCAUAAGACAAGCUAAUAUUCUGGGGAACAUGUAUUCCAAAGAACAUACUUUGGAAAAUUCUAAUCUACAAAAUUGUUAUAUGUUCUUCCUUCACUAGUGGCCUAAACUGAUUGUAAAGAAUAAUUUCCCAAUUAAAAAAACACUGUUCUCAGCCAGGCGUGGUGGCUAAUGCCUGCAAUCCCAGGACUUUGGGAGGCCGAGGCAGUGCAAUUGCUCGAGCUCAGGAGCUCAAGACCUCAAGACCAGACUCAGCAACAUGGUGAAACCCCAUCUCUACCAAAAAACAAAAUCAAAAAGUAUCCAGUUGCGGUAGUGUGCUCCUGUAGUCCCAACUAUUCAGGAGGCUGAGGUGAGGGAUCACUUGAGCCCAGGAGGUGGAGGCUGCAGUGAGCCAAGAUCACGCCACUGUACUACAGCCUGGGCAACAGAGCCAGACCCUGUCUCAAAAAAAAAAACCACACACACACACAUACACACACACACACACACACACACACACAAUCCCCACCACUGUUCUCAUUCAACUGUUACCAGGACUGAUAAAAGAACAUAAUCCAUCAACAAAGACAUUUACCAUUGAAUCGAUGACUUCUUUCAACUAUAGCUCUAACACAAUUUCCCAAAGUGUGUUCCAUUAAUAAGCACAGCACAAAAAAAUAGGACCCCACGGUCUAGUGCAGUAAAACUGUAGACUGUGACUCAUUCAUGAGUCAAAAAAUCAAUGUAAUGGGUCUUGACCAGAAUUUUUUUUUUAAUGAAAGGCUAGACUAGUAAAAAAUAAAAUAAAAAACAUAAGUGUACACUGCUUAUGGUAAAGGUAAGUAUUGACUCAUGUGUAAGUAUUUACUCAUAUGGUAAAGCUAAGCAUUGACUAAUGUCGGCUGUAAUCAGAGAAGUUUAAGAAUGCUGUGAGUUCAAAAAAAGUUAGGUUAAACAAGUUCCUUCACUGCAGGACAUUUUAGAGUCCUUAAAUGAAUUCCAAGAGUAUUUUUGGCCACAGAAACCUUUUUUUAUUGAAGCAUCUCACAGGACUAGUGCUCCCUGGAACACAAUUUAGGAAAUACUGUCUUUUGGAAACGGUGUACCUCCAACUGUCUUGAGGUACACUAUAUAAAUAACAGUGCCCAAUUUUCACCUCCUUCAGAAAACUCAGUCAGAUUUCUCAUCUUAACUAUAGCAUCCUUCACAAUUUGAUCAAACUUGCAAUAACUUUAAUUUGGUUAGCAUGAAGUAGUGGUUAAGCAUCUGGGUUUCAAUUCUAGCUCCACCACUUGUCGGCUGUGUAAUCAGCCUUGCAUUGUUAUUUAAUCUCUUUCCCAUGGUUUUCCCAUGAAGUGUAAGGAGAAUACUGGGAAUACCUACGGUACAGGGUUUGGGGUUUGUUUUUUUAGGAUUAAAUGAGAUAACUUCCAGCCCCUGGCGUGUAAUAAGCAUUCCACAUAUGAUAUCUAUUACUAUUAGAAUAACACUAUCACCGCACCUGUACAGUUAUUACGGGAUACACGGCCAGAGCGAAAGAAACUAAAAACCCUAUGCUGCCGCCUGGUGGACACUCGGAAUUUAAAAAUCUGUCAUUCGCUUCCUUCCUGACACUACGAUAUGAAGCCGUAUGGAAAUUAAAACGUUUUCUCAAGCUGCAUUAACACACUUUAUAAAUCAUCAAAGUGGGGAAUCUAAUUUUCCAAAACUUAACAACUACCCCCAAGGCAACCCUGAAACCAGGGAGAGUUGUAAAGACUCAAAUUGGCCGAAGAAAUGGCUGAGAGAAGACACCAGUGAAGGACUACAGAGGAAACUCCAUCCACAGCGUAUUUGCUGAUUCUCAGGUUGGGAUAUUUCAGUAUAGAUUUUUUCUUCAAGGUAUAAAACAAAGAGAGCCAUAGGAAUUUAUCACAACUAAAGCAAAAUAACCAAUAAUCAUCAAUUCGAGGAUCUCAAUAUAAGCAGAAGACUCCGUGGAAUCUUCACAUUUUCUUUCUAAAAGAAGUGCACUGAUCAUAAAGGUUCCCAUAAAUGACUUAAGGGUUGUCACUUAUUUUCAGCAGCAAAGUGAAGUGGAAGAUUGCAGCAAUGACAUGAAUAAUUUAUUUUAUUUUAUUUUAUUUUUUUAGACAGAGUCUCGCUCUGUUGCCCAGGCUGGAGUGCAGUGGAGUGAUCUAGGCUCACUGCAACCUCCGCCUCCCGGGUUCAAGGAUUUCUCCUGCCUCAGCCUCCUGAGUAGCUGCAUUACAGGCACCUGCCAGCACGCCUUGCAAAUUUUUGUAUUUUUAGUGGAGAUGGGGUUUUGCCAUGUUGGCCAGGCUGGUCUCAAACUCCUGACCUCAGGUGAUCCGCCCGCCUCAGCCUCCCAAAGGGCUGGGAUUACAGGCGUGAGCCACUGUGCCUGGCCCCAAGUUUUGCAUCUUUUAAUGCCCUCUGAACAAAUACAUAGAGAAAACUCUCAGAACAAUUAAAACCUGCAGAGCAACAGUGUCCUCCAUGUCUUAGGUUUCAAGUUUGCCUCUAAAAUUCUAAUCCAUAUUUUUCUACUUCUCAGAUAAUUUAUGUGUGUGUACUCUUCCUAGACGUACAAGAGACUUUUUAAUGCUAAAUAUUUGUCAGUGCUUAACAAAAACUCAAUUUCACAUUACUCAUAUUGUUUUUGUUUUAAUUGAAUGUGAAUUAAAUUUUUAUUAGUUAUUUGAUUUGGAAUGUUAUGUAUGCCAUUAACACUAUUAGGGGAAUCUCUAGCAUUUCUGUAUUUUUAAAGAAUUUGAUUCUUUUGUAGAUUCUGCCUGUGUGGUCAUUUUAAAACAUGUGUGACAUAUAUCAGUACCUUCAUUCUUCUAUAUUUUGUGUCUCCUCCAACCUCCAACUUUUUUUGUUUUUUGAAAAAUGUUUCUCUAACACCUCAACAGUUUAAGGUAAUUUAGUACACAUAUAUCAGUAUUUUUGUGAUCUGAAAAAGCAACCCAUUUUCUAAAUUCAUAUUUUUCCUAAAACUUUACUAUGUUUUUAUUUUAAGAGGUUUCCUGUUAUAUACACUUUUUACACAUGCAAAUAAACUUUAUACCAAGUGAGUA